rnacentral:rRNA from 1 species
UACGUAGGGGGCAAGCGUUGUCCGGAAUCAUUGGGCGUAAAGAGCGCGUAGGCGGCCCUGUAAGUCCGCUGUGAAAGUCAAGGGCUCAACCCUUGAAUGCCGGUGGAUACUGCAGGGCUAGAGUCCGGAAGAGGCGAGUGGAAUUCCUGGUGUAGCGGUGAAAUGCGCAGAUAUCAGGAGGAACACCCGUGGCGAAAGCGGCUCUCUGGAACGGUACUGACGCUGAGACGCGAAAGCGUGGGGAGCGAACAGG